rnacentral:rRNA from 1 species
GGGGGUAGGGUGUCGGAUUAUUGGGCGUAAGAGCUCGUAGGCGGCCUGUCGCGUCGGAUGUGAAAGCCCGGGGCUUAACCCCGGGUCUGCAUUCGAUACGGGCAGGCUAGAGUGUGGUAGGGGAGAUCGGAAUUCCUGGUGUAGCGGUGAAAUGCGCAGAUAUCAGGAGGAACACCGGUGGCGAAGGCGGAUCUCUGGGCCAUUACUGACGCUGAGGAGCGAAAGCGUGGGGAGCGAACAGGAUUAGAUACCCUGGUAGUCCACGCCGUAAACGUUGGGAACUAGGUGUUGGCGACAUUCCACGUCGUCGGUGCCGCAGCUAACGCAUUAAGUUCCCCGCCUGGGGAGUACGGCCGCAAGGCUAAAACCCAAAGGAAUUGACGGGGGCCCGCACAAGCAGCGGAGCAUGUGGCUUAAUUCGACGCAACGCGAAGAACCUUACCAAGGCUUGACAUAUACCGGAAACGGCUAGAGAUAGUCGCCCCCUUGUGGUCGGUAUACAGGUGGUGCAUGGUUGUCGUCAGCUCGUGUCGUGAGAUGUUGGGUUAAGUCCCGCAACGAGCGCAACCCUUGUUCUGUGUUGCCAGCACGCCCUUCGGGGUGGUGGGGACUCACAGGAGACUGCCGGGGUCAACUCGGAGGAAGGUGGGGACGACGUCAAAUCAUCAUGCCCCUUAUGUCUUGGGCUGCACACGUGCUACAAUGGUCGGUACAAAGGGCUGCGAUGCCGCGAGGCGGAGCGAAUCCCAAAAAGCCGGCCUCAGUUCGGAUUGGGGUCUGCAACUCGACCCCAUGAAGUUGGAGUUGCUAGUAAUCGCAGAUCAGCAUGCUGCGGUGAAUACGUUCCCGGGCCUUGUACACACCGCCCGUCACGUCACGAAAGUCGGUAACACCCGAAGCCGGUGGCCUAACCCUUGGGAGGGAGCCGUCGAAAGUGGGACCAGCGAUUGGGACGAAGUCGUAACAAGGUAAC